GCCUUCGAGGUGUAAUGGCCAGCACACUCGGAUCGUAUUCGAGAGGUCUGUCGUUCGAGUCCCGGCGACGGCA
rfam:Stegodyphus mimosarum contig51074, whole genome shotgun sequence.